CCUUUGCUUCAAAGGGACCCCACACAAGCUCAUGGACUCCUUCAGUUAUUUCCUGCUCUUGUCGCCGGCCUGGGGCUCUUGGAUGUCAGGAAUCACGUCUUCCUUAAAUUGCAGGUCACCUUCCCCCGACUGUCUGAGCCAACCUCAACAUUGCUUUCCUCGGUGGAAAUUUUAUCUGCGUUGCCAAUUGAUGGACAUUUCCCCCUGCACCUCUCCAUUCUGGACUACCGACAGUUGAUAUGACGUAAGAUGGCUUUAAGCCUCUCAUUCUAUAGCAUGAACUUUCGUGAAGACACACGGGGAUGCCUGGGUUGGGAGCAAAACCAGCUCACAGACAACACCACAGGGAAAGACUCAUGAACUCCUGGGCCUCAUCAGAGGAGCUGUUUCCUGUGAGGAUGGUUUCUCAUCCCCUUCUAGUCCUACCCUUAGAACUAUCACUGUAAAUUCUUUCUCCAUAAUAAGAGAUGCUCCCUUCAGAAUCCUCAGGCAUAUGCAAACAUAUCCCCUCAUUCUAUAUUUUCUGAUUUUAUGUGAUGGCUGACUUACCUGCGUGUGUAUCUGUGCUCCACUUGCAUACCUGGUAGCCAUGGAGGCCAGAGAGGAGAGUAGAUCCCCUGGAGUUAGAAUCAUGGAUGGUCGGGAGCUGCUAUGUGGUACUGGGAAUUGAACUUGUUUGCUUUGGGAGUGCAGCUGGUGUCCGAGAACAGCAAGGAGGCCCCAGUAGAGAAUGAAGAAGAGGAGGGGUGAGAGGAAGCAAUAAUACCAUUAAAAAACCAAAGAAGAAAGUAGGAGCAAGAGAGGACCGAAGGAAAGCACUUCAGCUGUUUUAUCAGCACUCUUUCUGUUUUGUGAGCAAGAAGGCCUGCAUUGUUUAGUGUGAACCCCAAAGAUUAUGUAGCUGGAUCUGGACCGGGAAUUGUGCUGGAAAACAGGAGCAUAAAGCUCAACAAGGGAGACAAAUGAAUUUACAUUUGGGCAGGAAGAAUUAUACAGAACAAUUGUGAUAGGAGGGGGGGAGGGAGAGUGAGAGAGAGAGAGAGAGAGAGAGAGAGAGUGGGGAGAGGGAGGGGGAGGGGCAAGGGAGAGAGAAGGCACAGCAUGCUGUGAGAACCAGGGAACUGGACAGCCUGCUGUGGUUCCUUGACAACUACCAUCCUGAAAGCCCUUCUCUCUUGCCAAUGAAAUUCGCUACCUUUAUUAGACCAGACUGUCAAACCACCAUGAUCCAGUUAGGCAUGAGCACAACACCUGCUGAGUGGAUAUCAGCCGAAACCCUUGUGAAAAAGAUUUCUUCCCAGAUAAAACAAGAGAAGCAUGACUGGAAGAAACACUCCUUCCUUACUUCAGAUGUAAUAUGAGGGUGUGAUGUUUGAUGCUAUGGUAGACAUUUUGAAAUCAUGAGCUAAAAGGGUAAGAAAAUGGCAGAUGCUCACCCACAGCUUUAACAAGAUUUUGAAUCUCCAAGUCAAUCCAGACAAUGCAUGCACAACAUUAAUCAA
rnacentral:lncRNA from 1 species